rnacentral:rRNA from 1 species
CGAACGGGUGAGUAACGCGUGAGGAACCUGCCUCAAAGAGGGGGACAACAGUUGGAAACGACUGCUAAUACCGCAUAAGCCCACGGUGCCGCAUGGCACAGAGGGAAAAGGAGCAAUCCGCUUUGAGAUGGCCUCGCGUCCGAUUAGCUAGUUGGUGAGGUAACGGCCCACCAAGGCGGCGAUCGGUAGCCGGACUGAGAGGUUGAACGGCCACAUUGGGACUGAGACACGGCCCAA